GUAGGUGGCAAGCGUUGUCCGGAAUUAUUGGGCGUAAAGCGCGCGCAGGCGGUCCUUUAAGUCUGAUGUGAAAGCCCACGGCUCAACCGUGGAGGGUCAUUGGAAACUGGGGGACUUGAGUACAGAAGAGGAAAGCGGAAUUCCAAGUGUAGCGGUGAAAUGCGUAGAGAUUUGGAGGAACACCAGUGGCGAAGGCGGCUUUCUGGUCUGUAACUGACGCUGAGGCGCGAAAGCGUGGGGAGCAAACAGGGAUUAGAUACCCUGGUAGUCCACGCCGUAAGCGAUGAGUGCUAAGUGUUAGGGGGGUUUCCCGCCCCCCUUAGUGCUGCAGCUAACGCAUUAAGCACUCCGCCUGGGGAGUACGGCCGCAAGGCUG
rnacentral:rRNA from 1 species